AAUAAACGAAUUUCUGAGUUUUUUAUUGAAUUUUUGACUCUUCGUCUUAUUUGAAGAUUUUUUAUAAUUAAUAUUUUUAUUGUUAUUACAUAAUAAAAACAUGAAUAGUACUUUGUACGUGACUAAUUUUUUUCAAUUUUUUAAUAAAUUUUUCAAAUAAGACGGAUGGUCAAACGCUCCCUAGAUAAAAAUCAGG
rnacentral:pre_miRNA from 1 species